rnacentral:lncRNA from 1 species
GUUUUACCAUGGCAUCGAAAAAUAGAUCUGGCCAUGUAGUUCCAUCGGCUCUAAAAUGGAUUGCCACUGCGCGGCUUAGACCGUCACACAAAAAACGACGGCUCCUCUCAGUCUCCUCUCUGGAAAAAUGGCAGCAUGAUCAUGGCCACGAAGAUUAUGGAAGUAAGAGACCAUGAAGUAAGAGAGCAUGGCUCUGUGUGGCCUCUCUGCCGGAAUCAGAUCAUUGACAUAAGAGGCGAGCUAUGGAUAGAGAAAGCCUAUUCGUAAAAAAAGUAAAAUUUGAAUUAGGAUGUCUAGCUGCAAAUACUAAACUUGGAUCACAGCAGAUUCAUACUAUUCACGUGGAGGCAAUAAGAAAUAUAGAGCUCUUAGAUUGGACACAGAAAAUUUUUCUUGGGAUUCUAAAUGCAGUGGCAGAAAAAACUCAUAUUAACGAUAUUACAAUCAAACAAUGAAUGAAUACGAACCAAAACUUUGAUGAAAAAUGCCAUUGUUAUCAUUGAUGCAACAUCAUUCCGAGUGAUAUUAAAGUACUUAUGUCUUUCCAUUGGAUCGCCAAAGAGAGAAGUUUGCGGAAGCUGACUGAACUUAAACAUUUACGGAGCCAGUGAAUCGCUGAGCCGAAAGACUGCCUCGCCCAUGAUUUUUGAGCCAUGGUUUUCCCGUUUGGGCCAGAAAGCGAAUGCCGAGGCAGGGACUUGGGAAGUCCUUUUAAGACGAUGGGUUUACGGUGGAUAUCCCCCCCUUUUGUCUGAAAAAAGGCACGCAACGGGAAGAUGAGGACAAAAGGAUAGACUUGCGCCGAGCACGAAGAAGCUGACUAAAGGGAUGGAAGGCUGUCCUGGAGUCGAUUCUUGAGGGUCUGGCCAACUCACUGGAAGGAAUCGAUUGGGAGUCUGCCCAGUGGAUUGGGGCCUGGUCGGAGCGAUGCUCGUAACUUACAGCAACAGCUCAGGGAGAGCAGGAUAUUAGGGGUCCCUGAAAGUCCACGGAAAGUCACGAAACCCCUUGCUGAUUCGGGACGACAAUCUUGAAGAGGAGGGCAGUGUUACGCGCCCGAGCUGUUACGGCCCUGCCGUUAUCCGGAUUCCGUAGCCAAGAAGAAUGUUUAUAAACAACGAUAGUCAGCUGAGUUGGAAGAUAGUUGUCAAGCUAUACGGACGCAUUUUAUGUACGAGCCAUUAUUAAUCCGUUGUGUUAUUAUUCUGAGUUAUUAUUUGUGUUCUGUGUUGCUUAUUAAAGUUCUCUAAAAGUA